rnacentral:lncRNA from 1 species
AGAGGGAGUACAAACAGGGUGAAGAAGGAAGCUGAGAAGGGGGAGGAGGGUUAUGGAGGAGGAGGAGGAGGAGGAGAGGAGGUGGUGCAUGAGGAAGGGGAGGUGGAUAAGGAGGUGUAGUGCAUAGCAUCCAACUUGCAUUUUGCCUCGUACUCUGCAUAGUACUCUAAAUACUACCAUGGUCACAUGUCAAAAGUGCAUUCUCAGCCAUUUUCUUACCUUUUCAAUCUUGUAAAUAAAAAAAGUUUUGGUCCGAGUGGACUCCAAAUUCUAGUAUAAACUUGUUGAAAAAAGUAACUUGGGAGUAUUCCCUGAUUUUCUAAUUUCGAGUUUUAAUAAUGUAGAGUAUAUAUUUCAAGUUUUCCCCAUCCAAUACCCACUUAACUUACUUGAAAGAGUAAUUUGACAUUCCUCUGUCCCUCUCUAACUGUUUUCCAAUUGUAUUGAUUUUUUUUUCCUUUAAAUGCAGCAAGAGUGGAGAGAUCUCUGAACAUUUGAAGACUUUAGGAAGUAGUUACACUAAAUUGAUUGCAGCAAUAACUCACUGUGUAAUGGAUUUUCUUUUCUUUUACCAAAUGGUUGUUUCUUAAAGCAUGGAAAAUAGCAGCCUUUCAGUGAAAAGGAGCCACUGGAGCUACAUAUAGAUGUCAAACAAAGGAUUUCAUGAUUUUCCUAUCAUGGAGAGAAUAGGAACUUAAAUGAGAAGAAAUCCUCACCAUAGUUAGACCAUAUUCCUGAGCUUCU